GACGAACGCUGGCGGCGUGCUUAACACAUGCAAGUCGAACGGAAAGGCCCUGCCUUUGUGGGGUGCUCGAGUGGCGAACGGGUGAGUAACACGUGAGUAACCUGCCCUUGACUUUGGGAUAACUUCAGGAAACUGGGGCUAAUACCGGAUAGGAGCUCCUGCUGCAUGGUGGGGGUUGGAAAGUUUCGGCGGUUGGGGAUGGACUCGCGGCUUAUCAGCUUGUUGGUGGGGUAGUGGCUUACCAAGGCUUUGACGGGUAGCCGGCCUGAGAGGGUGACCGGCCACAUUGGGACUGAGAUACGGCCCAGACUCCUACGGGAGGCAGCAGUGGGGAAUAUUGCACAAUGGGCGGAAGCCUGAUGCAGCAACGCCGCGUGCGGGAUGACGGCCUUCGGGUUGUAAACCGCUUUCGCCUGUGACGAAGCGUGGGUGACGGUAAUGGGUAAAGAAGCACCGGCUAACUACGUG
rnacentral:rRNA from 1 species